rnacentral:rRNA from 1 species
UUCCUACGGGGGGCAGCAGUGGGGGAUAUUGCACAAUGGGGGGAACCCUGAUGCAGCGACGCCGCGUGGGUGAAGAAGCGCCUCGGCGCGUAAAGCCCUGUCAGCAGGGAAGAGAAUGACGGUACCUGAAGAAGAAGCCCCGGCUAACUACGUGCCAGCAGCCGCGGUAAUACGUAGGGGGCAAGCGUUAUCCGGAUUUACUGGGUGUAAAGGGAGCGUAGACGGCGAUGCAAGUCUGAAGUGAAAGGCGGGGGCCCAACCCCCGGACUGCUUUGGAAACUGUAUGGCUGGAGUGCAGGAGAGGG